CUACGGGAGGCAGCAGUGGGGAAUAUUGGACAAUGGGCGCAAGCCUGAUCCAGCCAUGCCGCGUGGGUGACGAAGGUCUUCGGAUUGUAAAGCUCUUUUGGCGGGGACGAUAAUGACGGUACCCGCAGAAUAAGCCCCGGCUAACUUCGUGCCAGCAGCCGCGGUAAUACGAAGGGGGCUAGCGUUGUUCGGAAUUACUGGGCGUAAAGCGCACGUAGGCGGAUUUGUAAGUCAGGGGUGAAAUCCCGGGGCUCAACCUCGGAACUGCCUUUGAUACUGCAAGUCUUGAGUCCGGAAGAGGUGAGUGGAAUUCCUAGUGUAGAGGUGAAAUUCGUAGAUAUUAGGAAGAACACCAGUGGCGAAGGCGGCUCACUGGUCCGGUACUGACGCUGAGGUGCGAAAGCGUGGGGAGCGAACAGGAUUAGAUACCCGGGUAGUCC
rnacentral:rRNA from 1 species